UACGGAGGGUGCGAGCGUUGUUCGGAAUCACUGGGCGUAAAGCGCGUGUAGGCGGCCCUUUAAGUCCGAUGUGAAAGCCCGGGGCUCAACCCCGGAAGAGCAUUGGAUACUGAAGGGCUGGAGUACCGGAGAGGAGGGUGGAAUUCCUGGUGUAGCGGUGAAAUGCGUAGAUAUCAGGGGGAACACCUGUGGCGAAGGCGGCCCUCUGGACGGAUACUGACGCUGAGACGCGAAAGCGUGGGGAGCAAACAGG
rnacentral:rRNA from 1 species